UACAUCAGGAGCAAGAACAAGAGCUCAAACCCUAGUUCACCCAAAAUCAACAAAUUGAAGGUCAAAUCUAGCCCAAAUCAAAUGCAUGAACACAAAUUUGUGAUCACCUAAGCUUGGGGAUCAUAAGUUUGACGCUUAACAAGCUACAUGGAAGCUCGGGAAGGAAGCGAGUCAAACGGAUUGAGCACGCGGAAAAGAAUAACCGGAUGCAAGGUACGCACAAGGAAUGAUACUCUUGUGAAGGGUACAUGUACCAACCAUAAUAUGGAUUAUGGUUGGAGUAAAUAAGGGGCUGUUUGGCAACAUCUGAACCAAUAAGUGCUGAAUGAAUAAGAGGUCUGAAUAGCUAAGAGGCUCUGAACCAUUAAGUGCUGAAUCAGUAGAGUACUGUUUGGUUGCACCUCUGAAUGACUAUGUAAAAUGACAUUUUUACCCCUCUAAACUACUUAUAUA